UAAGGAAUAUUGGACAAUGGAGGCAACUCUGAUCCAGCCAUGCCGCGUGAAGGAAUAAGGCCUUAUGGGUUGUAAACUUCUUUUAGACGGGACAAAACCCCUUUACGUGUAAAGGGUUGAUGGUACUGUCAGAAUAAGCAUCGGCUAACUUCGUGCCAGCAGCCGCGGUAAUACGAAGGAUGCAAGCGUUAUCCGGAAUUAUUGGGUUUAAAGGGUGCGUAGGCGGACUAAUAAGUCAGUGGUGAAAGCCUGCAGCUUAACUGCAGAAUUGCCAUUGAUACUGUUAGUCUUGAGUACAGUUGAGGAAGGCGGAAUGUGUCAUGUAGCGGUGAAAUGCUUAGAUAUGACACAGAACACCGAUUGCGAAGGCAGCUUGCUAAGCUGUAACUGACGAUGAGGCACGAAAGCGUGGGGAGCAAACA
rnacentral:rRNA from 1 species